rnacentral:tRNA from 1 species
UCUAAUAUGGCAGAUUAGUGCAAUGAAUUUAAGCUUCAUAUAUAAAGAAUUUUAUCUUUUGUUAGAAUAACUAAUGG